AAUGGGGCGGGGGUCCCUGAGCCCGGAUUGCGAGAGGGCACAGGCCAGGCCAAGGGCCCCCACCAGUGCACA
rnacentral:pre_miRNA from 1 species